CCGGGACUCAGCAGGAUUCAAUGGAUAUCAGGAUGUUGUGUGGGCUGUUUUCGUGUUUUUGAUUUUCUCUGGUUCAGUGCUCAACGCCAAAUGUAUAUAUAUAUAUAUAUACGAAUUAGUUAAAGAUAAUUGCAUAAUGCAUAAUCGUAAACAAUUAAAAUUAUGUUAAUAAUCCAAGUUCGCUACAUCGAUCAUGUCGAGAUAGGUUUUGUAACCUCAAUAAUGAUAAACUUAAAUUCUACGAUACAGUUAUUCGUUUUCGUUUCGUGGAAAAACGCGAAUGAGCCAAAAUUCGGAGCACGCACCCGAAAACGAUGCAGAAAGGAAAUAUCUCAAAGAGCACACACGCCCCGAUCGGCAGAUGUUUCUCCUCACGGGUCAUCGCGAGCGAUGCUAGCGUGAAGGCGCGAUUGUCGAAGGUUUGACGCGAAAGAAUAUAUAACUUUUUCGAGAUGCGGACGGCUAAUUCACCUUGACGAGUCUCAUUUUCGCAAAUAAACGAAGGUGCUC